AUACGUAGGUGGCAAGCGUUAUCCGGAAUUAUUGGGCGUAAAGAGGGAGCAGGCGGCAGCAAGGGUCUGUGGUGAAAGCCUGAAGCUUAACUUCAGUAAGCCAUAGAAACCAGGCAGCUAGAGUGCAGGAGAGGAUCGUGGAAUUCCAUGUGUAGCGGUGAAAUGCGUAGAUAUAUGGAGGAACACCAGUGGCGAAGGCGACGAUCGGGCCUGCAACGGACGCUCAGUCCCGAAAGCGUGGGGAGUAAAUAGGAUUAGAUACCCUAGUAGUCCACGCCGUAAACGAUGAGUACUAAGUGUUGGAUGUCAAAGUUCAGUGCUGCAGUUAACGCAAUAAGUACUCCGCCUGAGUAGUACGUUCGCAAGAAUGAAACUCAAAGGAAUUGACGGGG
rnacentral:rRNA from 1 species